rnacentral:rRNA from 1 species
UACGUAGGGGGCAAGCGUUGUUCGGAAUGACUGGGCGUAAAGGGUGCGUAGGCGGUGUAGCAAGUUAGAAGUGAAAUACCUAGAGCUUAACUCAGGUGCUGCUUCUAAAACUGCUAUACUUGAGUGCAGUAGAGGAAAGUGGAAUUCCUAGUGUAGCGGUGGAAUGCGUAGAUAUUAGGUGGAACAUCAGUGGCGAAGGCGACUUUCUGGACUGUAACUGACGCUGAGGCACGAAAGUGUGGGGAGCAAACAGG